UUAUAAAUGCAUGCAUCUAUAUUUUGACAUAUAUCAGAAGUGUUUGGUCCUGCUAAUAAAUUAAGAGGAAAGGUCUCUACCAGAGGGUUUUCUAAUUUGAAGAUCUAAAGAUGGGCUUGGAAUUGUCACAGAAAGAGUCUCAAGUAAAUUAUUAAUAUGUCAGAAUUUUAGAACUGGAAGAAUUCAGCCAGUCCAAUUCUUUGAUUUCACGGAUGGAGGAGGGCCUGGAAAGUGAAGGGAAUACCUUAUUGCCACCAACUGAAGACAAGCCAAGAAUUAAGGCGUGGUGACUCUAUCGUUCCUUGGUACCGUGUGUCUGAAACAACUUACCUCUGCAUUACUGCAUUCCAGAUACCUGCUCCCACCACCCGCCCUGGGCUCUGCUGGGGUCAUCACAUUUGGAACCACAGUGAGUGUGGGAAAUGACUCAACAGCC
rnacentral:lncRNA from 1 species